rfam:Picea glauca, whole genome shotgun sequence.
GAAAUGGUGUCUUUAGACACCACCGAUCUUCUUUGGAGUAUUAUUU